CAUGGUCCCACCAUGGAGGAGUGUGUAGGUUAUAGCAGAUGAUAGAUGUGAAAGUGGUGACUUAGGUUCAGUGGGAAGGAUGAUUACAGAAGAAUGGGGAAUUCAGAAACCUGGAGCACAAAGCCUGAGACAGAAUUCAAACCAAAGGCAAGGAUAAUGCUGCUGACAACUAGAUCCAAGAACUUCCUCCCUUUCCUGGGUUCAUCCAUUUCUCAUCCUUCCACAGGUUCCCAGGUUACAUACACUACCCACAAUGACAAUCAGCAACUGCUUUUGGACUGAAGGCACUGGACACCCUCUAUCUUGUCACCAUGCUGGUCAGAGGUGUGAUCACUCAGCCCUAGAAACUGUCGCUUUCACCUGCUGAGGAAAUGAUCAUCUAAAAAGGACACACACAAGGGAGAAGAAAAUUGUCCAAAGAGGCUGCAGUUGUUCACUGACAAACUAAUGGUAUGCAUCAUCACAAAUCAACAAAUGUGCAUGCUACAUUAAGUUCACCACUAAAAGCCCAAGUCUAUCCUUCAUUAUAUAAAUGAUGCCUUUUAUCAGGUCAUCUCCAAACAACUCUCCAAGGCAGCUGCUUUAUCAUCCCCACCUUCGGGGUAUGAAAACACACUUCAGAGAUGUGUCGUAUCUUACCAGGUUCAACAACGAAUCAGUGAGGUUCGGAUUCCAACACAGUACUGUCUUACUUCAAGCCCUGUGCUCUAUGGACAACAUCUGACUCUGAAUUUCUGGAGGUCACCCCAUCCUAGAUCCAGCUCCCCAGUGCUUUCUGAACAUCUACUGUUUUAAGCACUGUACUAGCUUCAGUAAAGAACAUACAACUGGAUCACAGAAUUUUCUUUAUAGGAUCAUAUCAUCUCGGUGAAGAGCAGGAAAAACAUAGAUACAAAACCCACAGUUACAAAUACAAAGCCAAACAUGCUAAUUUUCCCAGGACAGUCUUG